AUAUCGGCUUUGAAGGAAUACUAGUAGCGACUUAUAUCACUGUCUCAGAGAACUGAUGGUUGGUGCGAAUCAGUACAUAUACAAGCGUGAAUUACAAUUCUGGAGCUUCUUUCCCGUAAUGCUUUUUAUGCAUGAAGAGAAAGACGGAUCUUUCCGUUAUCGUAAAGUGAGUGGUAAACAAUUAGUUGUUUACAAAUAGGGUGGUACCGCGAUUUUUAUCGUCCCUAUC
rfam:Bacillus cereus ATCC 14579, complete genome.